rnacentral:tRNA from 1 species
GCGGAUGUCGUAUAUCGGUAGUAUUCGACCCUUCCAAGGUCGGGGGCCGGGUUCGACUCCCGGCAUCCGCA